rfam:Stegodyphus mimosarum contig114947, whole genome shotgun sequence.
GCCUUCGUGGUGUAGUGGUCAGCAUGCUCGACGCGUAAUCGAGAGGUCCGUGGUUCGAUUCCCGGCGAAGGCG